GUGCUUGCUUUGGCAGCACAUAUACAAAAAUUGGAACAAUACAGAGAUUAGCAUGGCCCCUGCCCAAGGAUUCCAUGCAAAUUUGUGAAGUGUUCCAUAUUUUU
ensembl:snRNA U6 U6 spliceosomal RNA